GAAAAUCAGAUUAGGAUGCUUUUCUUAUGAAUUUGCCAUUGAGUCAUGGAGAAAGUAGGUACAUAAUCUCACACUGGCAUGCGCGUGUGCUAUGGAAUGACAAUGGAAUAUAAGAAAGGAAGUACCUCAUGUUCUAAAAACAUGCAGUACGGAGAUUGAAUUUGGUUAUGGUGAUCAGGAUGUUUUUUACUGAGAAUGUGACUCUGACACUUAAUGAUUCAAAUUUGUCUGGGUAGAGAUAAGGCAAAGGAACUACCUAAAGAGGGAGCAACAUAUGGAAAGGCAAAUGGAUCCACAAAUCUGAAACAGGACCUCUACAGCUAAAACUAAGAAAGCAAGGCAUAACUAAAAGUGAAGAAUGAGCUCUGCAAACCCAUCAGAAUCUGCACAAAUGACUGUGGAAUGUUAGAAUAAGAAGAGUCUAUCAAACAGACUUCCAUCUGCUUCGAUUCCAAAAGUUCAACCUUUAUUAUAAACUAAGCAACUGAAAAUCAAAGUUCUGAAAACUUAAUUGCUUUCCUUAAAUCUUAGUUUCAGUUUAACUUUUAGAAUGAUCCAAUAUGCCAUGAUAUAGGAAUUCACAUUUUGUGUUGUAAUUUUCCUUUCCUUAAUAUCCUGUUGCCUGUUGUCUUCCUGAUAUUUAAUCAAUGACAUUUAUUACAAAGGAAAAAAUAUAUACUGGUGAAUAUGAAAUGGUCUAUAUCAUGCUAACCCCAUAAUAAAACCAUUCUUUUGAUAAUUUGAUUUGAUAUAAAAAGAAAGAGGAGAGAGUUUUGAAUAAUUGUAGGUUGUGUGAGCAUAUUCAGGACAGUUCUUGGAGGGUCGACCAUAUCAUAAUAUUUUAUUAGACCAUAGACUAGAGAGAACUUAGUGUAGAAUGUAACUAUCAUCAUAUUAUGUCAAAAAAAGGGGAAGGGUAAAUUUUUUUUCCAGUUCAGAGGAUUAUAGGAAGGGAGACACCGAUAGUUUUUCAGACGUUUUGGGUUUGCCACGUUCCAUUUAGACUCCUAGAAGACUGCUUCACAGAUUGGUCCUGAGGUUUCAUGCAGUAAAGAAGAUGUAACAAAAUGAGACAGUGAUUCUGAGCAGCACUUCUCCUGACUCUCCAUGACCUGCUCACAGUGCGAAAGAAACCCAGCCUCUGAGGCUGCGAAACAGAAAAACAAGCUAAAUGGUUGGGAGUUUUCUAUAUGCAUUUACUGUAGUGGGUAAUUCACUCUGAUGUCAGAUAAAGAAAUUUUGGGCAGUUUGCCUGGAUGGUAACUAAAGGAGAGUCACAGCAAGAAAUAUGGUUUAGAUGCUUAACUCUAGAGAAAGCUAAAGUGGGGUCAAGUCACUAAGGACAAUAUAAAGAGCCUGAAAUUGUCAAAGUGUAGAUUAUGACUUCCCCUGUCAUUGCAUUCAUCAGUAGAUGACAAGAGAGAGCCAAACCCACCCCAUGGGCAAGAAACUAGCAGCAGUUUCCAACCAGCCCCAGACCUGCUGCUCUCGAUCAAAGAUGGCUAGUGAAACCACCCUAACACCUUCACUUGCCAUGUUCUUAGGAUAGUAAAUAUGAAAUGUUGCCUUCUAAAAAAUCAUUAUUGGAAUGAGAACUAAAACAUGUCAAACAAGAUCCCCUUACAAAGGGGAUCUUCAGUUGAGGAUGUUAGGAGAUUUCUAAUUUCGAAUGUGAAAAAAAAAGUGUUUUCAAUCAUCUGUAAAUGAAAUUUAACAUUUCUAUUAAUUUGUAAUGUAAGCAAUAAAACACAGUAGUAUAGUUAUAUUUGCAAUUUAGUCACCAAUGGAAAUCAUAGAAAUUUUUAUAUUGUAUUACAUUGUUGCAGAUAUAAAUUAUAUUUUACUAUGAUUACUACUUCAAACUUAGAGAAAUUAUUAGAGCUUCCGAUAGCUUCUGCUAUUUACUUCAUUGAUGAGAAAUCACAUUUAUUACUAUACUACAUUUUAAGAUUUUGAGAACUAUAUUUCAGAAUGAUAAUUUUACUUUUAAUACUUUCUACUUGUGUUGUAUUUUUAUGAAAAGCACUGUUAUGAGAGUGCAUCAAUAGGAGUUACUCCUCUGCCAAAGUGGUCUGUGGCAUUAAAGGACAAAAUAAAACAAGCAAAACCGGAUAACAUGUACUUUCCAGUGACUUUGCAAUGAUGGGUUAUUAUAUCAUGGAUGCUUACAGAUUGAAAGAGUUUAAACCUGAGAUGACUGAGGUAUUAUUUAAAAUAGUUUAAAAAGUUAAAUUCAUAGAAAUGGAGAGUAGAGGGUUGUUACUAGGGAUUGGGGUGUGGGGGAGAUGGGGAGAUCUUGGGCAAAGGCUGCAAACUGGCAGUUAUAAGAUGAAUAAAUUCUGGAGACAACAUACAGCAUGAUGACUACAGUUAAUAAUAAUGUACUGCAUCCUUGAAAAUUGCUAAAAGAUUAGAUCUCAAGUAUUCUCAUACACCCAAGACAAAGUAGCUAUUAAUACAUGAGGUGAUGGGCACACUAAUUAGCUUAACUGUGAAAAUCUUCACAUUGUAUAGGUAUAUAUAAACAUCACUUUGUAUACCUUGAGCAUACGCAAUUUUUACUUGUUAUUUAUGCCUCAGUAAAGCUGAAAAAAUUUGUUUUUGUUUGUCCAUAUGAAUGUUUACUUACUUUCUCUGCUGUCAGCAGAAUUGGGGCCUUGAAUAAAAUGAGAUUAAGUCAGUUAUAAAGAAAUAAAUUACCUAUAUUUUCCUUAUAUAUCUAAGUUGUGUUGUGAACAAACUCACAACUACAGAGAGUAAAUAUGAUUUUCCUCAUGCAAAAAUAUAAGUCACUAAUCUGAACAAUGCAUAUUUAUUGAAAGGAUAGAAUAUAUUCCCUUUUUAUUAAUGAGUGCAGCAAUACUUUAUACCUGUGCUGAAUUCCUAGUAUUGAUCUAAAUAGAUAGAACUAACUAUAAUAAGAUUACACAGUAUCUCUAAAAAAUAGAACAGGUAAAGUAAGAAUUUUAAACUUUUAAAUAAUGACUUGUAAAUAAACAUACUCAAUAAUAGCUGAGUUCAGAUUCAUAAAUCUAAAAGCUAUAAUGAGUGGAAGAUAACCCAUUAAAGUGCCACUUAUUAGGCUGAUCUUCAAAUUAUAUUUGUAAUAUUCCGAAUAGAGGAUUCUCUGAUAUGCUGAAUAGAGAAUAAUUUUAUUAAGCAUUAUAAACUUUUUUCUAAGAUAAUUUAUGUCUAAAACUGGAAAAUGUAUGCAAUUUGUAAGCUAAUUUUACUGAUUAGAAAUGUGCAUUAUGAGAAAUUUGCCUUCUGUAAGCAACAUCUGAGUAUAUUUAGAUAGGAUAAUUAUAUUCAAAAAUAAUCCACUCAUUGGUCUUAGGUGUUAAUGAUCAUGUGAUAUGUAACUAAUAUGAAGUAUAACCAUAUAUGUGCAUUAGACUAGUCUCAAACAUUUGAACUCUUGCCAUUGUUGAGGAUCCUUUACUGAUUUUUUGUCAUUGAAUAUUAACUGAGUAAUAUUUACCUUGGGAACAUAAUUUAUAAAUACAAAGAUACUAAAAUUUGUUCUUUUUUAAAAUGCUUACAUUUUUAGAAAAUAAUACACCAGUUCCACCAUCUGUUGUUCAUGGCCAUUUAGUCUGUCUGUUCGUCUAUCUCCUCUAGGUUGUGACUUCUAAAUAUAAUAUUCAAUAACAGUGCCUCUUUUCUCUGGCUACAAGAACCAUACUUACUAAAAAUUGUCUUUAUAUAUAUAUUGGUUUAUCUUUACUGAAAACUGUUGUCAUCAAUCAGAGUCAAUUGAGAGAGUAAUCAUUUGAUUAUUUUUGAAAUAACAAAUCUGUGACAUGCAUAUCUUGGGAAUACCAGCAAAAUUUGAAGUUUGAGGAAGAAGGCAUUAAUCAAGCCUUAUAGGUAGUGUAUUUGGGAAUAAAGGCAUAGUUGUUAAAAAUUCUACAACCUUGACUGGAUGAGUUGAGAACCCUAAUUUUCCCAUGCCUAACUGUUCCAUCUUGAAUGUUACUACAGCCCUCUGUCUUUUUAUCUUCUCUGUAAUGUGGACAUUAUAAGUGUAUCUUAUAAGAAAAUGAAGUUGUAAGAAAAACAACGUGGCAUAUUGUAGGGGUUAGCUAAGUUUAGACACAAAAAUAUGAGCUCAAUGAUGGCUGGAAUUUUGUCUUUUAUUUUCACUAUGCCCCCAAAGCCUAGAAUAUGACUAGCAUAUACAGUAUGCUAGGUAUCCACCUAUUUAUGUUAUAAUAAUAUGCUAUAUCCACCUAUUUACAGUUUUGCUUUCCACACUUUCAGUUACUUAUGUUCAACUGUGGUCCAAAAAUAUUAAAUGGAAAGUUCAGGAAAUAACUCAUUAGUUUUAAAUUGCACACCAUUCUGAGUAGUGUGAUGAAAUCUCCAGACAAGCCCUCCUGCUCUCACAGGUGGAUGCAAAUCACCCAUUUGUCCCAGGUAUCCACUCUGUAUACACCAUCCACCCAUUAGUGACUUAGUAGCAUCUAGCUUAUCUGAUCGAAAACCAUAGUACAGUACUGUACAUAUAGGGUUCAAUACUAUCUGCAGUUUCAGGCAUCCACUUUAAGUCUUGGAACAUAUCCCUAAUGGAUAAUGGGGUGCUACUACAAUAGAUACUAAAUAUGUGCUCAGUAAUUAUAUGUUUAUACAAAUAAAAUACAUAAAAUUUCAUUUUAGCUAAAUAAUAUUUUUUCUGAAAUGUUUGUUUUAUUUUAUAAAUUUGUUGCUAAGACCUAAAAAAAAAUUAAUGUGCAUGUGAUUUCACAAGCAGAGACUCUUGGAAAAAAAGAACAAUGUAAGCUAAUAUAAGAAAAAUGUAUUUGAAUGUAUUUGUCACAACCAUUUAGCAUGCUUUAUUUUAGUCCAUGAGCUCAAUAUCCACAUGAGGUCUAUGGGCAGCAUCUUCUACUUGGAGAACUAUGGAAACAUUCAAUUGCCUAACACAAAACAAAUUAUUUGAUCAUCUGCCUAACAUCCUCAUUAGAUUAAUUUGCUGAAUAUAAUCUAUUACAUAAUAUCAUCAUUUCACAAUACCUAUAAAUAACUUGAGGAUAUUUAUAGCUAUGGAAACUUUGCAGAGGUACUGGGGAGAGAGUGGCUAGGAAAAAUAAAUAAUUUAAUUGGAGGGGGUGCAGAGGGGACUAGAGAAUUUCAUGAAAAGGCCAUUAUUCCCUCUAUGUCUCACUAAAUAUGUGUAGUAAAUUAUUCAAUUUUCAUCAAGUACUUAUGAAUACAAUAGUAAUAUGUCUUAUAUUUAUUCAAAGAUAGUCUAAGUGCAGACCUUAAAGCCUUUAUAAUUUGAAUGAAAUUUGCUAAUUUUGAUUAUUAGUAAGAUAUUUUCUAAAAACAAAUUAAACUUUCACUGUCUAGAGUAAGAGUAGCUCUCAUGAUCCUCAAGAUUACGUUUUGCAAAAUGUAUCCAGAUGACAUUACAAGAAAUCAACGACAUAGUAAUGCAGAAGUUUCUCUCAAAAUUUUUAAUUAUCUAAAUUAUUUAGAAUACAUGGUAACAUUCUUUUCCUGAAUUCCCAUGACAAUAUUUAUAUAGACUAAACAUUUUCCUUCAUCCACAAAAUGGUUGCAAGGAAUGAAUAUCAGCUCCAGGUAUGUGUGAUCACCUGGUAUGUGUGAUACUUGAGUAUCUUUAUAGUGCAUUAGGCUACCAUAUUUUUUUAAGUAAACAUAUCUGCCCAGAAAUUAAGGACAUUACUAUAGUAGGACAUAUUUUUAAUGAUUUAUUAUUAACAUGAAAAUGUUCAUUGUAUGUUAAAACAGACCUUCUCAAUCUAUAAUGUGCAUAAGAAUUCCUCAUUAAAAUGCAGAUUCUAAUUAAGUUUGUCUGCAUUUCUAAUAAGAUGCCAGGUGAUACUGAGACUACCCUGAGGACCACACUUUAAGUGGCAAGACAUAAAACAUCAUAUUAAAUACUGAAAUGCCACCAGAUUUGAUAAAACCUGUUUUCUAAUUUCAGAAAGUUCAUAAGCUAGAAGGAAAUUAAAAAUAAUUAGUCAUGCUAAUUUCUCUAAAAUGAAAUAGUUACCAACAUCUUAAAUUCAAAACAAUCUUGAUGAAGAAUAUAAUACAAAGUCUACUGGAAUUAAUUAAAUUUUUUUACAGCUAAAGAAUAUGCUAUGCUUUUUUAAAUUUUAAAAUAUCUGCAUCAGUAAUUUGUCUGUAUCUGUUUAAAUAAAAUGCCUAUUUAAACAUUUAACAAAAACAGAACAACAAUUAAAAAAAAAAACACCUCUCUAUGGUAGGCAAUGUGGAGUGGUAGUGGUUUCCACUCAAAUAGAAGAGAGGUCUGCAAUGUAUGGCCUGUGGGUCAGAUCCAUACUACUACCUGCUUUCAUACAGACCACAAGCUAGGAAUUUUGUUUUUUUUAUGUUUUCUAACAGUUGAAAAACAAUUUACAAAAGAGUAUUUCUUAAAAUAUUAAAAUGAUACAAAAUUUAAAAUUCAGUGUUUAUAAAACUGCUGCUGUCACACAGCAAUGCCCAUUCAUUUAUGUACAGUCUAUGGAGUCUGCUAUGGCCUGAAUAUUUGUUUCUUCCCAAAACUAAUACGUUGAAACCAAAUCCACAAUGCGAUGGUUUUAAGAGGUAAGGCAUCUGGAGAUGAUUAGGUGAUGAGGAUGAAGUCUUUAUGAAUGGCAUUAGUGCCCUUAUAGAAGAGGCCCAGGGGAGUUUGUUUGCUCCUUCCAAUAUGUGAAGAAACUGCCAGAAGGUGCUAUCUAUGAACCUGGAAAUGGACCCUCAUGAGAUACCAAAUCUGCCGGCACCUUGAUUUUGGACUUCCCAGCCUCCAAAACUAUGAGAAAUAAAUCUCUGUGUAUGAGCCACUAGUUUAGGGUAUUUGUUAUUGCAGCACAAACUGACAAAGACAACUGCUCUCAUGUUACAGCAGGCAGAGCUGAAUGGUGGCCACAGGACCACAUGGUCCAUAAGCAUGGAAUUUGUAUUUUCUGUUAAUUUUGUAAAAGUAUAAAAACCAACCAGGAAAGUAAUGUGUGUGUGCAUUAGAUAUUUUUUCUAGUAUUGUAGUCAUGUAAAUAUACAUUUUCUAUUCCUUAGAAGAGGUAUUUUUUAGUUUUAAAAAGGCCACAGGACUUGAAGUCAGGAGUCAUGUCUUUAAGGAUCUGGAGCAGAAACUCCAAUGCUGUUAAAUGAGAGGGUCAUAUCACAAGGCUUCUAUAACCCUUUUCUGAUCCAGCCUUUACAUAGGUAUAUAUUAAGCUUAUUUUUAUUUCUUUGCUUUAAAUUUUUCAACUCUGUGAUGUUGUACUAAAAGGAAAAAUUGAUAUUAUUUAAACUGUUUAACACAUGACUUUCCUUUCUAUGAACCUUGAAUUUGUUCUUGUUUAAAGUGUUUUAUUGUCUUGGCUCUAUAAGCUUGUUUCUUUUGCAUACUGUGGGAGUUUAAAAUAGGUUAUUUGUGUAGUCAUCUGAUCAAAGUUAGUGAAGUUUUAUUGCUACAAUAAAAUAACGUUUAGCACAAACUCCAAAUUUUAAUAAAAAUUCCAUCUAUAUCCAAACAUAAAACACACUGUGUAGCUGAGUUGUAAUUUUUGCCUAAACUAUACGCUGAAGAUUCAUGAAGGAAACCUAAAUAUAUGAAGUAUUUAAAUAGCCAGCUUAGAGACAGAAUUACUUAUGCUAAAGGACACAAACUUUCUACAGGAAAAGUAAAAUAAAUGGAAAUGUUAAGCAGUUUCGCAAACUGCAUUUGGCAUUUGAUAUAAAGAAAGCAAAACAAUAUAAAUUUUAUGAAUAGUAAGAAGGAUCCAUGGGCUUUUGGAAAAUUUCUUAUAUAGGAAAUAUUUCAUAGCAGAUUAAAUAAAUAAUUCAAUGUAACAAAGGAAUUCUCCAACAAUUACUAACCUUUAGGAAGGUUCUGUAUAUACUGUUUCCUAGGCUGUAAUUCCUUGCACUUACUAGCUGGAUGAUGUAGUCCAGUGAAAUUAUCUCUUUAAGCCUGUGUGUGUGUAAAACUGAUAAUUAACUAUUAUAUAUAUCUUGUAUAUUAUAUGCUAUCCCACAAUAUUUUUGUUUGUAUUCAAUAAAAUAAUGUAUUAAAUUUAGUCUUAUCAACAAUAAAUCCUUGAUAAAUAUUUGCUAUUAUUAUAAAUUUUAUGGGCACACACUUUUAGGUAAGAAAGGAUCAGACUGACAAUAUUUUCAAAUGUAUAAUUUUAAUAUAAUUAGUGAUAUUUUAGCAAUUGAACGACUGAUAUUCUUUGAUAUUUUAUUCAAGCAUACAGAAAUAAGACAUCCUAAAAAGAGGAAAAAUGGCAAAUGGUAUUUCCUAUCUAUAUCUUUAAAAAUAGCCUUAGUGACGUACAAUUGUACACACAAAAACUGAAUGUUCUCAUAUACGAUUUGAUGAGUUUU
rnacentral:lncRNA from 10 species